rnacentral:misc_RNA from 1 species
CUGAGCACCAGCAGGGACCUGCGCGCCCGACGAGCAGAGCAGGGGCGCGGCUGCGCGCAAGCGGACAGAGGGAGGGACGACCAGCGUGCAGGGGAGUUCGACAGCGGCCGCCAUGGCGCGCAAGGAGGGCGAACUCCAGGGAGGGCGGCCAAGGGAGACUUCACGCCAUGGGAGAGAGCAGAGAGAAACGGGCUGAGGGAGGAGCGAGCAGGGAGGGAGCGCGCGCAGGGAGAGAAAUCCAGCGCCAGGGAAGAGCUCGCAACAGGGACACGGCGAGCAGGGAGGGACACCGCGGCCAUGGAGAUGCACUGCGAGGGAGAAAAGCAGGGGCGCGCAGGAGCAGAGGACCGCGCACUAGUGAGGGCUGGAGAUAGGGAAGGCAUCGACAAACUCUAG